rnacentral:rRNA from 1 species
GACGAACGCUGGCGGCGUGCUUAACACAUGCAAGUCGAACGCUGAAGCUCAGCUUUUGUUGGGUGGAUGAGUGGCGAACGGGUGAGUAACACGUGAGUAGCCUGCCUCCUUCUUUGGGAUAACGCCCGGAAACGGGUGCUAAUACUGGAUAUUCACUGGUCUUCGCAUGGGGGUUGGUGGAAAGGGUUUUUCUGGUGGGGGACGGGCUCGCGGCCUAUCAGCUUGUUGGUGGGGUGAUGGCCUACCAAGGCUUUGACGGGUAGCCGGCCUGAGAGGGUGACCGGUCACAUUGGGACUGAGAUACGGCCCAGACUCCUACGGGAGGCAGCAGUGGGGAAGAUUGCACAAUGGGCGCAAGCCUGAUGCAGCGACGCCGCGUGAGGGAUGGAGGCCUUCGGGUUGUGAACCUCUUUCGCUCAUGGUCAAGCCGCAACAAUGGUUGUGGUGAGGGUAGUGGGUAAAGAAGCGCCGGCUAACUACGUG